UAAGACGAACCGUGCGAACGUUGUUCGGAAUCACUGGGCUUAAAGGGCGCGUAGGCGGCUGACCAAGUCUGGGGUGAAAUCCUGCAGCUUAACUGUAGAAGUGCCUGGGAUACUGGUCGGCUCGAGGGAGGUAGGGGUCUGUGGAACUGCUGGUGGAGCGGUGAAAUGCGUUGAUAUCAGCAGGAACGCCGGUGGCGAAAGCGACGGACUGGAUCUCUUCUGACGCUGAGGCGCGAAAGCUAGGGGAGCAAACGGGAUUAGAUACCCCGGUAGUCCUAGCCCUAAACGAUGGGUACUAGAUUGUGAACUAACUUGGGUCCACAGUCGAAGCAAAAGUGUUAAGUACCCCGCCUGGGGAGUAUGGUCGCAAGGCUG
rnacentral:rRNA from 1 species